GUGAUAUUUUUCUGCUCCUCAAGUUGUUUGCAUGUAUCAAUGUUUCUGUCACUCAGUUUUUCGUGAGACACAACUAAAUCAUCAUAGCCCAAAUCUUCUUCAUAAGGUUUAAUGUCACAAAAGAUUUUACAAGAUAAUGCAGUAGUAUGAUUAGCAGAUUCUCUUUCUCCAUCUCCUUCAGGCUCAUCAUCAUCAGACUAGGAUGCAGUCAAGCUUUUCUUGUGUUUCUUAAGAAAGGUAGCACCGUAAAACCCCAAUUUUUAGUAUUAUGAUUAUUAGUAGUAGUGUUGAUUGUUUGACAUUAUUAUUUUUUAAUUAUUUUUAUUUGAAUUUAAUCCGUUUUAACAUGUUUGGGUGAGGUUGUUUAGUUAAUUGGGAUAGAGACAUUGGAUUAAUAAGGGUAGCAUAUAUAAACUAGAGCUUUAAUUAAUGGUAGUAGUUUAAUUAAAAAAAAAAACAGAGAGAAAAUAAUAUUUAGAAAGAAAAUAGGUUUUUUUUAGAGAAUAAGAAAUUAGAGUCAGAACGGGGGAUUAGUAAAUUUGGGUAGAAAAGAUGUGUAGUUAGUGAGAUGAGUAAUGCUUUAAUGAGUUAAGUAGAUGGGAAGUGUGAAUAGCAAGACGGUGUGGUUACAGAAAGAAUAGUAACAAAUUCGGGAGGUACAUAUUUUAAACCGAAAGAUUAGUAACAAACUUAGGUGAUGAUUAUAAAUAGAUGAGAACAUUAGAAAAAUAGGAUUACAACAAACAGAAAAAAGAUUAGAGAACAAAAGAAAACUAGGGUUGUGGAGAGAAAAGGCAAGAAGGCAUAGCAAGAGGAACGUAGAGAGAGAUUUCACCGUAGGAACUCAUCAAAUUCGACAAACUAGAGGUAAGGGGGGAGUCUCUAUUCAGCGUAAGGGUUGUAUCAACAUAUGGGUAGUGAAAGGUUUUAUUUUUUUUAUUAUUUUUCUUACGAUCUUUUACCGAAUUCAUGUUAAAUUUGUGCUCUAAUUGUUGCGACGAUUUUAGGUAUAUAAUCUCUCUAAAUUCAUGUUAUUGAUUUAUGUGAUUAAUAUAUAUGGAUAAUUGAAUUCGUAACGUGUUUUAGAAUUGAUAAUCUUUGAUUGAAUUCACGAAUCCUUUUAUUAAUUUUAUAAAUGAAUAAUUUGCUGGGUAAUAUAGUGUUGCUGGUUAAUUCUCUUGCAACUCUCGGCCAUGUGUGUUUCAAUUGCACGUAUAUGCUUGAAAUUCAAUUAGGAGUAAAUCUUGUGUCAGUUACCUAGUUUAACCUCUUUGUACUCAUUAGAUUUCAUAGCCCCACCCAACUAUUGACUAUAGUUAUGUGAUGAUUUUUCUAACGUUUUUAUUUUAGUGAAGUUUGUAGUUAUUUGUUUAAAUUGAAGUCCUUUGCUAAAGUAUAAGUUUUUAAAUUACGAGAAUUUGUACACUAUAUUUUCAGUAGGAACUUUUAAUUCGAUAGUUGAAUUGAUAAAAUUUAAUAUCUACAGAUGUUCACAACCCCCCAACCACGAGUCCUGGGACAUCUACAAAAGAUGCCAGCAUAUUAUACAAGCACCACACCUUGUCCCAAGACUCGUGAAUGGGGGGUUGUGGACCGUCAUAAUAUUCUUGGGUACAUAAGGAACCUUCAUAAGGGUCCUCGUGCCUCACCAAAGGGCCAGGAUGUCCUCCAAGAGAAUCUUAGAGAUCAAAUACGCAUCCCCUUCAGGGCGCCGCCUUCAGUGGCUUCUAGAAACCGCCCAGAAGUACUGAAAUACCCUUCUUUACUUGCCAACCAAGUAAACCACAAACAAAGCCCAUAAGGGACUAUAUAUACCAUCCUUGGGAUCAUUCUUAAUCCAUCUAAUCAUCAUUCAAAAACCCAACAAUACUAAGAAAAACUUAGUUCUCUUUACCGUACUUUUUCGACAAGUACAGGUGACAAACACACCUACUCUGGAGGCUACCAAGCUAGGAAGGAAAUCCACUAGUGUAGUCCUUAUUCAAUAGCUCUCAACAAACUCCUCGUUUACACUAUAUGACCUAGGACCUACCUGUAUAUACUUCAAACUAGGAACUCCCAGAUCUGAGAUCCCAUUUCACUAUCUUAAUGGUCAGUCACAUCCUUGUGACCUAUCAGACCUAAACCAAAACAAAGUUAUAAGUUACCUUCCAACAUAAACAACUAACACCUUGUGUCACAACUUCGGUGUAGUACAAAGGAGUAAUCAUACUCACACACAAUCCUAACAAAUAUCACAGACGAUACAAGAAAUAACACAUAAUAGAUUCUAAACUUGCAUCACAAACGAUACAAGAGCAGAAUACAUGAAGACUCAAACCCUAAAAAUCUAAACUUUUAGAAUGACAGCUUGAAUGAACAAUUAGGUCUUGAAGUCUUCCUUCUAGACUAAAGUAGCAUGGGCUAAAUAAUUCGUUGGGCCUCAGCACAAAGCAAAUCGGUUCAGCUAGUCUGCAAAACAAGAAUCAUAAACAAAUCUGGACAGUCCUAAAAUGUCGGAACAUUUAUAGGAUCGUUCCAAACAAUAAUAAAUAUUUCCUAAAAACUAAUAUCAUUUUUAGAAAUAUUCCACAGCUGAUUCUUAGAAGAUAUGCGUGUUGCUUGAUCAAUAAGAUAAGGAAAUAUUGUUUCCUUAAACAAUAAAGGACGCGCCUACAAAUAGGCGAGAACUUAGGCACACUGAACCGUGUCAGGAUGUUGGAACAUUGUAUCCAACAUUUUACAGAGACGCCUAAACACAUGUUGAAACAUUGGCUCCAACUUACAUCAAGGAUAUUUUUUGUAGCAAUAAUGCAGCCAAUACAAAUACCCAACAUACUCCCUCAUUGAUUUCCCACGCAAAGGUGGUGUUUUCCUUGACAAACAAAAGUAGCUUCUGUAAUUCCUUCUAAAAAUGUCAAAUGAUCUUAUGAUCAUAUAAUUCCCAUCUCUCUUAUUUGAAAUGAAGAAAGGACUUUUCUCGGUUAUUUUAGUGUUAAGGUUAGAACCUGUUUCCUCAUAAUAUAUAUCUUAUACAUGCGCAAGAAAAGGGUUGCACUUCACACACACUCACUUGAAACUUGUUGUUGGGUUGAAUAGGUUCGCAAGGAAUACUUGAUGUUGUGAUUAGUGUACACUUGAAAUUAAGCCUUUGAGGAGACAUAAGAUUUUAAUUGAAUUGUCAUAUUUUAAUUUUGUUUAUGUUGCUAUGUUUAUGGCUUUUGCUUGAGGGCAAGAAAAGAUUCAAGUGUGGGGGAGUUUAAUGAGUCAAUAAUUAGUGUUUUUAAUAGGUUAUUUGAGUUUAUUUUAUUUAGAUUUUACGUGUUUUUAUUUACUUUCCAAAACUAUUUUACUACAAUUGCUUGUUAUUUAAUUCCAGGAAAUUUUUUGGUGAAAGAUUGAAUCUUGGAGCAAAAGAAAAGGUUUUGGAGUAUGAUUAAAGGAUAAAAGGAUCUAAAAUAUGAUUUGGAGCUGAUUGAAGUCAAAAAUAUGAAGUCAUGUGCAAAAAUAUAAGGUAUGGCCGCGCCAGACAGUGGCGUGGCCACAUCAGACAGCGACGUGGCCACACCAUCAAAGUCAUGGCCAAGUGAGAGAGUUGUCACGGCUUGUGCUGCCAGUGGCACGGCCGUGCGCGUCUGUUGCAGCCCUUUUGCUACUUUUGCUUAGAGAGUUGGCACAGCCCGUGCCUGUGGUGGAACGACCGUGCCAAGGUUCCAUCUGCCACUUUUAGUUGUAUUUUGACCUAAAUCCCAUAGAUAUUCUUGAGUGACACACUAAUGAUUCACUUCUUAGGGCUUAAGUCAAUAUUAGACUAUUAGUAGAGCAGCCAUCAGAC
rnacentral:lncRNA from 1 species